rnacentral:rRNA from 1 species
UACGUAGGGGGCAAGCGUUGUCCGGAAUCAUUGGGCGUAAAGAGCGUGUAGGCGGCCCGGUAAGUCCGCUGUGAAAGUCCAGGGCUCAACCCUGGGAUGCCGGUGGAUACUGUCGGGCUCGAGUCCGGAAGAGGAGUGUGGAAUUCCUGGUGUAGCGGUGAAAUGCGCAGAUAUCAGGAGGAACACCGGUGGCGAAGGCGGCAUCCUGGACCAAUUCUGACACUGAGGAGCGAAAGCCAGGGGAGCAAACGGG